rnacentral:rRNA from 1 species
AGUGUUUGAUCCUGGCUCAGGAUGAACGCUGGCGGCGUGCCUAAUACAUGCAAGUCGAACGGAGAAUGUAGCAAUACGUUCUUAGUGGCGAACGGGUGAGUAACGCGUUGGUGACCUGCCCCAAAGUGUGGGAUAACAGUUCGAAAGGACUGAUAAUACCGCAUGUGGUCAUCGGGUUUAGAAACCGGUGAUUAAAGGAGAAAUCCGCUAUGGGAGGGACCUGCGUCCCAUCAGCUAGUUGGUAGGGUAACGGCCUACCAAGGCGAUGACGGGUAGGGGACCUGAGAGGGUGGCCCCCCACAAUGGAACUGAAACACGGUCCAUACACCUACGGGUGGCAGCAGUAGGGAAUAUUGGUUAAUGGGCGAAAGCCUGAACCAGCAACGCCGCGUGUGCGAUGAAGGCCUUCGGGUCGUAAAGCACUUUUGAUAGGGACGAGGAAGGACGGUACCUAUCGAAUAAGCCUCGGCUAACUACGUGCCAGCAGCCGCGGUAAAACGUAGGAGGCGAGCGUUAUCCGGAUUUACUGGGCGUAAAGCGCGUGCAGGUGGUUUGGUAAGUUGGAUGUGAAAGCUCCUGGCUUAACUGGGAGAGGUCGUUCAAAACUACCAGACUUGAGGAUGGGAGAGGGAGGCGGAAUUCCGGGUGUAGUGGUGAAAUGCGUAGAUAUCCGGAGGAACACCAGUGGCGAAAGCGGCCUCCUGGCCCAUCUCUGACACUCAGACGCGAAAGCUAGGGUAGCAAACGGGAUUAGAGACCCCGGUAGUCCUAGCCGUAAACGAUGCAGACUUGGCGUCGGC